CCUACGGGUGGCAGCAGUGAGGAAUAUUGGUCAAUGGGCGCGAGCCUGAACCAGCCAAGUCGCGUGAGGGAAGACGGUCCUAUGGAUUGUAAACCUCUUUUGUCAGGGAGCAAAAGACGCCACGCGUGGCGUUCCGAGAGUACCCGAAGAAAAAGCAUCGGCUAACUCCGUGCCAGCAGCCGCGGUAAUACGGAGGAUGCGAGCGUUAUCCGGUUUUAUUGGGUUUCAAGGGGGCGCAGGCGGAAGAUCAAGGCAGCGGGAAAAUUUAGCGGCUCAACCUCUUCGAGCCGUUGAAACUUGUUUUCUUGAGUGAGCGAGACUUAUGCGGAAUGCGUGUUGUAGCGGUGAAAUGCAUAGAUAUCACGCAGAACUCCGAUUGCGAAGGCAGCAUACCGGCGCUCAACUGACGCUCAUGCACGAAAGUGUGGGUAUCGAACAGGAUUAGAUACCCCAGUAGUC
rnacentral:rRNA from 1 species